AUGAAUACACCGGCGGAGACAGGUGAGCGUGGAGAAAACAGCUUUCCUGACUAUGUGAUGAACUUACACCUGCUUCCUGUAGUUCUGUCAUUGGCAGUCAUCAUAUCUGUCACUCUCUCCCAGGACCUGGUCUCAAUCCAGUUUAAGUCAGAUCCAGUCCUGGUGCAGACUGGCACCGAUGCGGUCUUCACGGUGGUCACAGUGUCCCAGGUGUUUUCCAUCACAUGGGGGUACCCAGGUGGGGUGACCCCCCUGGGGCUGUGGGUGGGGGGCAGUGCGGUGCUCAACACUGUGGCCCAGUACCAGGGCAGGGUCACCAUCACAGCCACCCAGCUCCGUAUCAGCAGUGCCCAGCUGGGAGACGCGGGGAACUACACAGUGCAGGUGGACCCCUCGCCCACCACGGGCCUGGCCCAAAACUCAAGGUCCAUACAGCUCAGGGUAUUCGAUGCAGUGGAUGGCGUGACUAUGUUUGUGCCGUCAGUGGCUCUGGAGGGGGGCAAUGUGUCUGUGCGCUGUACCUGGACCAAGGGGACAGAGACCAGUGUGAUGUGGGGUAAAGGGGGCUCUGUUCUCACCUCGAACUCCAGGGUCACUAUCAAAGGGGGCGACCUGGUGAUCAACCCAGCCAGGAGAGAAGAUGCCGGGGUCUACUCCUGCACCGUCGCUAACCUUGUCAGUGCUCAGACCGCCUCAAAGACCCUCACAGUUUACUGUGAGUCAUUGCAGGCCCAGCUGCUAAUGCUGAUAACAUAAGCCACACAGUGAGCAGGGCCAGUGAACAGGGUCGGAUUCCAGACUUGGCAUGCAGGGGUAAUCCAGGGGUGAUUAGAUGGCAAAAUGUCAUGGCAAAAUGUGUAGGAUUGUAAUUAACCAUAAAUUAGCUUUAAAACUGCAAUAUUUUCUCUCAGCCUCAUAAUGGCAAAGUGUGUAGAAUAGCAUGAGAUUAGCUAUAUAACGGCACAAUUUUCUCUAAACCUCACCCCACUGCUGGAUUGCCUCUGAAGCUAAGAACGGUCGGUCCUGGUCAGUCCCUGGAUUGGAGAUCAGAUGUGGCUGGAAGUGGUGUUGGAGUGCCAGUAGGAGGCACUCUUUCCUCUGGUAAAAAUAAAUAUACUGAACAAAAAUGUAAAAGCAACCUGCAACAAUUUCAACAAUUUUACUGAGUUACAGUUCAUAUAAGGAAAUCAGUCAAUUGAAAUGAAUUCAUUAGGCCCUAAUCUAUGGUUUUCACAUGACUGGGCACGGGUGCAGCCAUGUGUGGGCCUGAGAGGGCAUAGGCCCACCCACUGGAGAGUCAGGCCCAGCCAAUCAGAAUUCAUUUUUCCCCACAAAAGGUCAUUAUUAUAGACAGAAAUACUCCUCAGUUUCAUCAGCUGUCUGGGUGGCUGGUGUCAGACGAUCCCACAGGUGAAGUAGCCGGAUGUGGAGGUCCUGGGCUGCCGUGGUUACACGUGGUCUGCGGUUGUGAGGCCAGUUGAACGUACUGCCAAAUUCCCUAAAAUGACAUUGGAAGCGGCUUAUGGUAGAGAAAUGAACCUCAAAUUCUCUGGCAACAGCUCUGGUGGACAUUCCUGCAGUCUGCAUGCCAAUUGCAUGCUCCCUCAAAACUUGAGACAUCUAUGGAAUUGUGUUGUGUGACAAAACUGCAUACUUUACAGUGGCCUUUUAUUGUCUCCAGCAGAAAGUGUACCUGUGUAACGAUCAGCUUCUUGAUAUUCCACACCUGUUGGGUGAAGGGAUUAUUUUGGCAAAGGAGACAUGUUCACUAACAGGGAUGUAACCAAUUUGUGCUCAACAUUUUAGAGAAAUAUGUUUUUUUGUGCAAAUGGGAAAUGUACUUUUAUUUAUUUCAGCUAAUGAAACAUGGGACCAACAUUUUACAUGUUGCGUUUACAUUUUUGUUCAGUAUAAUAAUAGCUCAAUGCCCCGGGGCAGUGAUUGGGGACAUUGCCCUGUGUAGCGUGCCGUCUUUCGGAUGGGACGUUAAACGGGUGUCCCGACUCUCUGUGGUCACAGAGUAGCAUGAGGUUAGCUUUAAGACUGCACAAUUUUCUCUCUGCCCCAUGGCAAAAAAGUGUAGAAUUGCAGGGAAAACUGUGGCCCCAGAUGCAGUGGUCCGGCUCUGACUGUGAGUAACAAUCUAGUGUCCAGGGUUCUGUUAAUUAGGGCACUUUUGAGACGUCAGAGUAGUCUUUCCUUGUUUUAGUCUGUUUUCUUCUGUUUGGUGCCUAAUGUACAUGACCCAGCAGUCAAAAAAAUGCUAAUGAUAUGAGCUAGUUGUUCAACUACAUUACACCAAGUAAUGUCACUACCAGUUAGCCACAUAAGUGCAUUACUAAAUAGGCUACAGGGCUAAUUCUCAUUAGCAAUAAUAUCACUACUCAUAAAGCCUCGUGAGCCGACUGAUCCCGCAUGAGCUUCCGGUAUCAUGCAACUCGCGAAGCUACUAGUCAUACCCAACCCCCGUAAUAUUGUCCCCAUUCAUUUUGAGGUGAAACUUUACUGUGAUAGUCUGUGAGCCACAUGCUUUGUCUUUGAGUCUGUCUGUUGAUGUUCC
rnacentral:lncRNA from 13 species